rfam:Arabis alpina cultivar Pajares chromosome 7, whole genome shotgun sequence.
UGGCUGUAGCUAGAUUGAUUUAGAAGCUAUAUGGUCGGUGGUCGCGAGGGAGAUUUAGAUCUCUACGGUCGAUUCAUCUGCUUACCGAGUUUCUUACAUUU